GACAGAGGUGCCAAGCGUUAGGCGGAAUCACUGGGCUUAAAGCGUGUGUAGGCGGACUUCUAAGUACCUUGUGAAAUCCCACGGCUCAACCGUGGAACUGCCUCAGAUACUGACGGUCUCGAGGGAGAUAGGGGCGAGCGGAACUAAUGGUGGAGCGGUGAAAUGCGUUGAUAUCAUUAGGAACUCCGGUGGCGAAGGCGGCUCGCUGGAUCUCUUCUGACGCUGAGGCGCGAAAGCUAGGGGAGCAAACGGG
rnacentral:rRNA from 1 species